rnacentral:rRNA from 1 species
CCUACGAGAGGCAGCAGUGAGGAAUAUUGGUCAAUGGACGCAAGUCUGAACCAGCCAUGCCGCGUGCAGGAAGACGGCUCUAUGAGUUGUAAACUGCUUUUGUACGAGGGUAAACGCAGAUACGCGUAUCUGUCUGAAAGUAUCGUACGAAUAAGGAUCGGCUAACUCCGUGCCAGCAGCCGCGGUACUACGGAGGAUUCAAGCGUUAUCCGGAUUUAUUGGGUUUAAAGGGUGCGUAGGCGGUCGGAUAAGUUAGAGGUGAAAUCCCGAGGCUCAACUUCGGAAUUGCCUCUGAUACUGUUCGGCUAGAGAGUAGCUGCGGUAGGCGGAAUGUAUGGUGUAGCGGUGAAAUGCUUAGAGAUCAUACAGAACACCGAUUGCGAAGGCAGCUUACCAAGCUACUUCUGACGUUGAGGCACGAAAGCGUGGGGAGCAAACAGGAUUAGAUACCCCUGUAGUC